rnacentral:tRNA from 1 species
GGACGUGUGCCUGAGCACUCAAGGGUUACUUUGAUAGAGUAAAAUACAGGGAAUAGUACCCCCUCACUUCCU